GGUAAAAUUUAAAUACGAUGAAGGGGAAAGGACGGCUUAAGAUAAAGAGCUUGGGCUGACAAGGGAAUAGUCCCAGGGUUCAAUUAUCCAGCAGAGCGCGGCCUCCCAACGCCCGCCCACCGGGGAUAAUUAAAAGCCGGACGCCUCGGUCCCUUCCCCAGGGAGGCAGCGGCGCUCCGCGUGUGAAACGGCGCUCAGGAAUGAACGGCGACACAGUGGCUUCAUUGUUCGGCGGCGGGGGAAACUGAGGCCGGAGGGCGGCCGCCGGGUGACUGGAGGCUGGGUCACCGCGCUCCCAGAGUGAAUGGGCAUUGGCCAGUGGGGCUUGCGGCCCUAUCUCCCCAGGGAGGGAGAAGAUCUGGGGAGGCAUGCCCCCAUCCCCAAACCAAUGAGCUCCGGAAGCUCCUCCUGGAAAAGCUAAUUAUUGAGGAACAUUUUUAAGGCUCUUGAUUCAAAUCAUCUGCUGCUGUCCAGAAAGCUGACACCAACUUACACAUCCGAUAAGAAUGGAUGAAAUUAAAAUUCUGGGCCGGACACGGUGGCUCACGCCUGUAAUCCCAGCACUUUGGGAGGCCGAGGCGGGCGGAUCACGAGGUCAGGAGAUCGAGACCAUCCUGGCUAAUGCGGUGAAACCCCUUCUCUACUAAAAAUACAAAAAAUUAGAUGGGCAUGGUGGUGGGCGCCUGUAGUCCCAGCUACUUGGGAGGCUGAGGCAGGAGAAUGGCAUGAACCCGGGAGGCGGAGCUUGCAGUGAGCCGAGAUUGUGCCACUGCACUCCAGCCUGGGUGACAGAGCGAGACUUGGUCUCAAAAAAAAAGAAAAGAAAAGAAAAGAAAAGAAAUUAAAAUUCUGAAGUUUGCAUACCUAACUCUUCACUUACGGUAUCUCACAGUCUAAUUAAUUCAUAGCCACAUGUAUAGAGUUUAUUGCAUUUGCAACUAUGCAGCAUCAAAUUGUUGCAAAGAGACCUCUGGAAAGGACUGUCCUUCCUCCCAAUGUGUAUGUGUGUAUGUACAUGUAAUACAUGUACAUAUAAUGAAGAUUACAUACAUGUAUAAUUGUAUUAUAUACAUAUAUAAUUGUAUACGUAUAUAAUACAUUUAUAUAAUCUUCAAUUAUAUGUAUAUGUAUUAUAUAUACAUACAUACACAUUGGGAAGGAUAUAUAUAUAAUUGAAGAUACAGAAUUGAAGAUGAGUAUAUUUAAUAUUUAUCAAAGGGUAAAGGCGCUCAUCCACAGUUUGGAUCAGAGCCUCAAAAUCUAAAUUCAUGCCACGAAUAGCGUUUUUCAGAUGUUGACUUCCUAGGAUCCUAUUCUUUUAAACCUGAUUCAAUUUUUGUGCCUAUCAAGACAGACACCAAAGAUUUUAUUUAGGAGGAAAUAUGUGGUAUUCUUUUUAAACUUUUCCAGAGACAUCACUUAUGUGAUCUUACUUGGUUUCUACAACAUUCCCAGCCCCAGGAGGCAGGCAGAGUGAUAUUGCCAAUCACAUUUUUGUAGACACAGGCUCAGAGAAGUGACAUUACCUGCUAGAUGUCACACAGCCCAUCUGGGACCCCAGGGCUCAAGCCCCUGCCCUCUGGCCCUGAGUCCUGCCUCUGUCUGUGGACUCCCAGCUCUUGCUGUUGCUAGAGUGUGCUGCUCCUUUACUUGGCAUGUCCACAUUCCUGGGUUGUCCAGGAACGCACAUUCUUGGAGAGGAAGGGGAAUAGAUAUUUUAGCCACAUACAACACUCUGAGCUUGCCAGGCACCUAAUAGGGACACUCAAUAAAUAUUAAUUAAAGAAUGCAGCCACAUUGGCUUAUGUGCUGGCCAGAUCCUUUAAAGUGUCAAGAAUAUUCCUUGAGAGACUGAGUGUUAGGCUGGAAGGCUGUGUGGAGGCGGAGAGGACAGAAAAGUCCUGGAGUAAUGGAGUGCAUUCUCUUGGAAGAUGAAAAUAUCCACCCGCCCCAGGGGGCCCCUAUCUGUCACUGUCACCAGGAGAGAAGGAGGAAGGGAACAUAUGUCUGUUGAGUGCCUCUGGGACCUGUAUUUUUCUUGCUGGGGUGGGAUUUAUUCCGCUUCUCCCGUACUCCUGCAUCUCCAAGGCCAGUGGAGGACACCAGGGGACAGCUGGCUGAGAUCAAGGAUUAACGUCAAGGAAUUUCUUCAUCAUCUCCAUCAUCAAAUUCUACUUAACAUGCUCUGCCCAUUCCAAGAAAAAAAGAGGAAUGAAUGUGAACUCUUUUUGUACAUACAGCCAUUUACUCAAAAAAUGCAGCCGGCAGAGAUUCCACAGCUGGAAAGCUGACUGGUUGCAGUAGAGAAGCUGGCCAAAAUCCACCAAGAUGGCGACAAGAGUGACCUCUGGUCAUCCUCACUGCUACACUCCCAUCAGCGCCAUGACAGUUUACAGAUUCCAG